rnacentral:rRNA from 1 species
UGAAUACAAGAUGCUACGGCGUUGAAGCAGUCUAUGUCAUACUUCCAAGAAAAGCUUGCACUGUCACAAACAAAGAAUGCCUGUACCAUAACCGACACAGGUGGGUAGGUAGAGUAUACUAAGGGGCGCGAGAUAACUCUCUCUAAGGAACUCGGCAAAAUGACUCCGUAACUUCGGGAGAAGGAGUGCCUUAUUUUUAAGGUUGCAAUAACAAGAUCCAAGCAACUGUUUACCGAAAACACAGGUCUCCGCUAAGUCGUAAGACGAUGUAUGGGGGCUGACGCCUGCCCAGUGCCAGAAGGUUAAAGAAGUCGGUUAGCAUUUGCGAAGCUGGUAACUGAAGCCCUGGUGAACGGCGGCCGUAACAAUAACGGUCCUAAGGUAGCGAAAUUCCUUGUCGGGUAAGUUCCGACCCGCACGAAAGGCGUAAUGAUUUGGAUACUGUCUCGGAGAGGGGCUCGGUGAAAUAGACUUGUCUGUGAAGAUGCGGACUACCUGCACCUGGACAGAAAGACCCUAUGAAGCUUUACUGUAACUUGAGAUUGAAAUUGGACUUUAUUUGCGCAGUAUAGGUGGGAGGCGUUGAACUAAUCUUGCGGGAUUAUUGGAGCCAUCAGUGAGAUACCACUCUUGUAAUGUUAGAUUUCUAACUUUGUAUCAUUCUCUGGUCAAAGAACAGUUUCAGGCGGGCAGUUUGACUGGGGCGGUCGCCUCCCAAACGGUAACGGAGGCGCACAAAGGUUUCCUCUGAACGGGUAGAAAUCGUAUCUAGAGUGUAAAGGCAUAAGGAAGCUUGACUGUGAGACCUACAAGUCGAGCAGGGACGAAAGUCGGUCUUAGUGAUCUGACGGUCUGAGUGGAAAGGCCGUCACUCAACGGAUAAAAGUUACUCUAGGAUAACAGGCUGAUCUCCCCCAAGAGUUCACAUCGACGGGGAGGUUUGGCACCUCGAUGUCGGCUCAUCGCAUCCUGGGGCGGUAGUACGUCCCAAGGGUUGGGCUGUUCGCCCAUGAAAGCGGUACGCGAGCUGGGUUCAGAACGUCGUGAGACAGUUCGGUCCAUAUCCGGUGUAGGCGUUAGAAUAUUGAGAGGAGCCUUCUCUAGUACGAGAGGACCGAGAAGGACAUACCUCUGGUGUACCAGUUAUCGUGCCAACGGUAAACGCUGGGUAGCUAUGUAUGGAGUGGAUAACCGCUGAAAGCAUCUAAGUGGGAAGCCCACCUCAAGAUAAGUAUUCUC